rnacentral:rRNA from 1 species
GACGUCAAAUCAUCAUGCCCCUUAUGUCUUGGGCUUCACGCAUGCUACAAUGGCCGGUACAAAGGGCUGCGAUACCGCGAGGUGGAGCGAAUCCCAGAAAGCCGGUCUCAGUUCGGAUUGGGGUCUGCAACUCGACCCCAUGAAGUCGGAGUCGCUAGUAAUCGCAGAUCAGCAACGCUGCGGUGAAUACGUUCCCGGGCCUU